rnacentral:rRNA from 1 species
CUUGAAUACAUUAGCAUGGAAUAAUGAAAUAGGACGUUUGUAUUCUAUUUUGUUGGUUUCUUAGGAUCGACGUAAUGAUUAAUAGGGAUAGUUGGGGGCAUUAGUAUUCAAUUGUCAGAGGUGAAAUUCUUGGAUUUAUUGAAGACUAACUACUGCGAAAGCAUUUGCCAAGGAUGUUUUCAUUAAUCAAGAACGAAAGUUAGGGGAUCGAAGACGAUCAGAUACCGUCGUAGUCUUAACCAUAAACUAUGCCGACUAGGGAUCGGAUGAUGUUAAUUUUUUAAUGACUCAUUCGGCGCCUUACG